UCGGCAGCCAGCGUGCCCAGUUCUCUUGGGACCCGCGCUCUGUGUUCAGACUGGGCUGCUGGUGAUCACGUCGCUCCAUUGCCUUCUGCUUCUACCCACCGCGCCCAGCGCUGUUUUGCAUUUCAGAACUUUCGCCUGGUAGCCACCGUCGCCCACUUUAGAGGCUCCUGGAGAGGCCUAGGAGCUCGACAGUGCGCGUAGGAGUGGGGCCUGGAACCGUGGCGUCGGUGCACAGUGUACACAGGACGUUGAGGAGAACAGCAAUCCAGCAGAUCCGGGAACCCAGGGAAGGAACUCGGGAAUGGAGUUAAUUCUCCUUAAAGGGUAAUCUCAGCCCAGUGUGUGGCGUCCCGUACUUGGAGUCUCAGCACUCCUGAGGCAGAGGUAGGAAAACAGCUGCAAGUUCAAAGCCAACCUGAGCCAAACAGUCUGAGUGUUCUUUACCCCGGAGUCUGCUGGAUAUGUUCGAGUCAGGAUGGUCAGCUUCCUCCCUGGCAAGGCAGACUUACAGCUAGGAGGAGUUGGAAGGCUU